GACGAACGCUGGCGGCGUGCCUAAUACAUGCAAGUCGAACGAGAGCGACCGGUGCUUGCACUGGUCAAUCUAGCGGCGAACGGGUGAGUAACACGUGGGUAACCUGCCCAUCAGAGGGGGAUAACAUCCGGAAACGGAUGCUAAAACCGCAUAGGUCUUCGAACCGCAUGGUUUGAUGAGGAAAAGAGGCGCAAGUUUCUGCUGAUGGAUGGACCCGCGUUGCAUUAGCUAGUUGGUAAGGUAACGGCUCACCAAGGCCGUGAUGCAUAGCCGACCUGAGAGGGUGAUCGGCCACAUUGGGACUGAGACACGGCCCAGACUCCUACGGGAGGCAGCAGUAGGGAAUCUUCCGCAAUGGGCGAAAGUCUGACGGAGCAACGCCGCGUGAGUGAUGAAGGUUUUCGGAUCGUAAAACUCUGUUGUUAGAGAAGAACAAGUGCUAGAGUAACUGUUAGCGCCUUGACGGUAUCUAACCAGAAAGCCACGGCUAACUACGUG
rnacentral:rRNA from 1 species